UACGUAGGGUGCAAGCGUUGUCCGGAAUUAUUGGGCGUAAAGAGCUCGUAGGCGGUCUGUCGCGUCUGCUGUGAAAAUUCAGGGCUCAACCCUGGACCUGCAGUGGGUACGGGCAGACUAGAGUGCGGUAGGGGAGAUCGGAAUUCCUGGUGUAGCGGUGAAAUGCGCAGAUAUCAGGAAGAACACCCGUGGCGAAGGCGGCUCUCUGGGACGGUACUGACGCUGAGACGCGAAAGCGUGGGGAGCGAACAGG
rnacentral:rRNA from 1 species